rnacentral:rRNA from 1 species
GAUGAACGCUGGCGGCGUGCUUAACACAUGCAAGUCGAACGGGAAUUCCUUUAUUGAAACUUCGGUCGAUUUAAUUUAAUUCUAGUGGCGGACGGGUGAGUAACGCGUGGGUAACCUGCCUUAUACAGGGGGAUAACAGUCAGAAAUGGCUGCUAAUACCGCAUAAGCGCACAGAGCUGCAUGGCUCGGUGUGAAAAACUCCGGUGGUAUAAGAUGGACCCGCGUUGGAUUAGCUUGUUGGUGGGGUAACGGCCCACCAAGGCGACGAUCCAUAGCCGGCCGGAGAGGGGGAACGGCCACAUUGGGACUGAGACACGGCCCAGACUCCUACGGGAGGCAGCAGUAGGGAAUAUUGCACAAUGGGGGAAACCCUGAUGCAGCGACGCCGCGUGAAGGAAGAAGUAUCUCGGUAUGUAAACUUCUAUCAGCAGGGAAGAUAGUGACGGUACCUGACUAAGAAGCCCCGGCUAACUACGUG